rnacentral:rRNA from 1 species
GACGAACGCUGGCGGCGUGCCUAAUACAUGCAAGUCGAACGCAGUGGGGACGGGUGAGUAACACGUGGGUAACCUCCCAUCAGAGGGGAUAACACUUGGAAACAGGUGCUAAACCGAUACUGAUGGAUGGACCCGCGGUGCAUUAGCUAGUUGGUGAGGUAACGGCUCACCAAGGCCACGAUGCAUAGCCGACAGGCGUGGGUGAUCGGCCACACUGGGACGGAGAAACGGCACAGGCUCCUGCGGGAGGCAGCAGUAGUGAGUCUACGGCAAUGGACGAAAGUCUGACCGGGCAACGCCUCGUAAGAAAGAAGGGUUUUCGGUUCGUAAGACUCUGUUGUUGGAAAAGCGGUACCGGAAUAGAAAGCCACGGCUAACUACGUGCCAGCCGCCGCGGUAAUUC